AUUGAACGCUGGCGGCAGGCCUAACACAUGCAAGUCGAGCGGAGCGGCGGACGGGUGAGUCAUGCCUAGGAAUCUGCCUGGUCGUGGGGGAUAACGUCCGGAAACGGGCGCUAAUACCGCAUAAUAUCAGAUGAGCCUGGGUCGGAUUAGCUAGUGGGUGGGGUAAAGGCUUACCUAGGCGACGAUCCGUAACUGGUCUGAGAGGAUGAUCAGUCACACUGGAACUGUGACACGGUCCAGACUCCUACGUGAGGCAGCAGUGGUGAAUAUUGGACAAGGGGCGAAAGCCUGAUCCAGCCAUGCCGCGUGUGUGAAGAAGGUCUUCGGAUUGUAAAGCACUUUAAGUUGUGAGGCGUUACCAACAGAAUAAGCACCGGCUAACUUCGUGCCAGCCGCCGCGGUAAUUC
rnacentral:rRNA from 1 species